AGGUAGAGACAUGUGGUGAAAGCAAGAACUG
rnacentral:sRNA from 1 species